UAAUUUGCCCCCUUGCUUUCUUACCAACAAAAACUAAAUUUUGUUUGUUGAAUAGUAAUGUUCCUAGCCUUCAUUGCAAUUAGAGGUGGCUAUGUAACACAGUUUUGGCCAGUGAUCCAAUGACGCAUGAAAAGAGGUUUUGCUUUUCUAACAUAUUUCUUCCUUUAUUACUUCCUUCUUCCUGGUCUUAAAACUAGAAUGAGACAUUGGAGGUGAAGCAGCCUUCAUGUGACUAUUUAUGCCUUCUGCAUUUAUGUUCAGUGGUAAUUCAUCAGUGAACAAAACAGUCAAAUGUCUCUCCCUUUGUGUGUCUUAAACUCUAGUGUGUAUCAACAAACAAUAAUAGAAUUAAAUAAGUAAACUAUUUAGAAUAUGAACAAUGAUAAGCGCUGUAGGAAAAAAUGUUAGAAUACGAGAUUCUAAGAAGCUAGUGAGUGUAAUAUUAAACAAAGUGGUGGGGACAGGGAGCAGGCCAUGCAGCUAGCUAGAAGAGGAACUUUCCAGAGAGUGAGGGGGAAAAAAUCAAUGCAAAGACUGGGAAUAUGCCUGCUAUAUUUAACAACCAGCAAGCAGCUAGUUUACUGAAGUUCAGUGGUGACAGAGGACUAGUAGAUGAGGUUAGAGAGGACAGACAGAUGGGGAAAAUUAAUGUAGGCCUUUUAGGUCAUUGUGUAGAAUUUGCCAUCUACUUUGAGUGAGAUAAAACAUCACUAGAGAGUCUGAACAGGGGAGUGACUUGCUGUGAUUUAUAUUUUUAAGACUUUGCUUUAAACCUUUUUAUUUUCAUCGAAUUUUAUACCUACAUAAAAAUUGCAAACGUAAUACAGAGCUUCCUUAUAUCCCUCACUGUACUUUCCCUAAUGUAAACACCCAACAUCAAAACAGGAAAUUGUUUAUGGCUGCAUAGUAUUCCAUGGUGUACACAUACCACAUUUGCCUUAUCCAGUCUGUCAUUGAUGGGCAUUUAGAUUGCUUCCAUGUCCUUGCUAUUGUGAAUAGUGCUACAAUGAACAUACAUAUGCAUGUGUCUUUAUGAUAGAAUGAUUUCUAUUCCUUUGGGUAUAUACCCAGUAAUGGGAUUGCUGGGUCAAAUGGUAAUUCGAUUUUGGCUCUUUGAGGAAUCACCAUACUGCUUUCCAUAAGGAUUGAACUACUUUACACUUUCACCAACAGUGUAUAAGCAUUGCCUUUUCUCCACAACCUCACCAGCAUCUGUUAUUUUUUGACUUUUGAAUAAUAGUCAUUCUGACUGAUGUAAGAUGGUAUCUCAUUGUGGUUUUGAUUUGCAUUUCUCUACUGCUCAGUGAUAUUGAGCUUUUUUUCAUAUGCUUGUGGCCCGCAUGUAUGUCUUCUUUUGAAAAGUGUCUGAUCAUGUACUUUGUCUACUUUUUAAUGGGUUUUUUUUCUUAUAAAUUUGUUUAAGUUCCUUAUAGGUGCUGGAUAUUAGAUCUUUGUCAGAAGCAUAGUUUACAAAAAAGAAUGAGAUCAUGUUUUUUGAGAAACAUGGAUGGAGCUAGAGGCCAUUAUCCUCAGCAAACUAACGCAGGAACAGAAAACCAAAUACCACAUGUUCUCACUUAUAAAUGGGAGCUAAAUGAUGAGAUCACGUGGAAACAAAGAGGAAACAACAGAUACUGGGGCCUACCAGGAGAGAAGGUAGGAGGAAAGAGAGGAACAGAAAAAAGAACUAUUAGGUACUAGUCUCAGCACCUGGGUGACGAAAUAAUCUGUACAUCAAACUCCCAUGACACAAGGUUACCAUAUAAUAAAGCUGUACAUGUACCCCUGCACCUAAAAUAAAAGUUUUUUGAAGAAAAGGAAAUCAACGUUUGGUGCGAUAUUAUUAACUAAACUACAGACCUUAUUUGAUUUUCACACAUUUUUUUCCUAUGUGUUCUUUUUCUGUCUGGCAUCCUAUCCAGAGUCAUAUACUGUUUUUGUUUUCCUUUCUUAGUCAUUUCCAGUCGGCAGCAUGACAUUUUUUUUUUU
rnacentral:lncRNA from 1 species